GAAAGGAGAGGAGCAGAGGGCCCGGGGCGUAUUCGGGGAAACCCGGACUCUUAGUUCUGUGGGAUGGAAGCUAAGGAGCCAGAUGCAUAGAUGAACCCUAGUGUGGAUGGCACAGGUGAUACCAGGCGUUGGGUAGGAAACGUGGCUUGUUAAUGUUUUGUGAGCUAUGCAGAGAUAUGAGGGUCAUUUUUAUUUAUUUAUUUUUACUUUUUUAAAGAUUUUAUUUAAUCAUGAGAGACGCAGAGGGAGAAGCAGGCUCCAUGCAGGGAGCCCGACGUGGGACUCGAUCCCGGGACCCCGGGGUCACGCCCUGGGCCGAAGGCAGACGCUCAACCGCUGAGCCACCUGGGCUGCCCAAGGGUCAUGUUUUAAAUGGAGGUCUUGUGUCUCUGCCACAUGAAAAGGCAGGAGAAAAUAGACCAGCUGAGAUGAAAGAUCUUUCUAGAUCAGCAUCUGGUAUUGCAAAAGAAUGGAUGGAAGAAGCAUCUCCCAUUGGGCGGGAAAUGGCUGACCAGGAGUGGAAGCGGAGUGAGGGGGACGGUGACCCGAGACUGGAUUCCUCUUUCAAUGAGUUAUGAGCCAGAAAUGUUUUCUUGGUUUUCCCAUGAUUUCCCUGAUUUCUCCUAUCUUGUGGAAUUGGAAGCCUUUCAUUAGCAAGGAUAUUCAAAACAUUUUUCAGACCCAGGUUAUAUGUCUAAUACCCACAGGGUAUGGAUGAGUCACCUGGCACAAGUUGAUCAUAACUCUAGGAGAUAAUCUCUUUAGCAAAUCCUUAAGUUCUCUUGGUCUCCAUUUCCUUAUCUAUAAAACAUAGAAUUAUACUUCAGUCAUUACAUGAAAUAAAAGGUGAUAAGAAAAUUAGCCUAUAAAAAGUGGGCUAAUAUAACAAUAUAACAAUAUGUUGAACUAGAAUCUAGGUAAUGGGUAUGUGGGUGUUCAUUUACAAUUCUUUUUCUUUUCCCUAUGUUUGGAAAUACUCAUAAUUUUUUUUUUUUUUUUUUUUUGGAAUUACUCAGUGCGGAAAAGUGCUCUGAAAAGUUAAAAGUGGGGAUCCCUGGGUGGCGCAGCGGUUUGGCGCCUGCCUUUGGCCCAGGCGUGUGUCUGUGUGUGACUAUCACAAAUAAACAAAAUUUAAAAAAAAACUAAAAAGUUAAAAGUGCUGUUCAAAUAUAAACUCAUUAAAAGGAUUUCAAAGGACAAUUCUAUGCUGGGAGUGCAUCAGUACUAUUAUUUUUAUGAUAUACUAAACCUGCCUAUUUUAAACAAUCAGAAAAACAUAAGACCUACUUAAAAAAUUCAUCCAGUAAACAUUUAUUGAGUGCACGGUAUGCCCCAGGCUCUAUGUUAGGGCAUGCAAUAAUGGACUGAACAGUCUGUUCACUGUUGAGUGGGUGAAACAUUGUAUAAACACGAAGAUAACUACCCGAUAGUAAAUACAGAAUCAUGAUAGGAGCAAGAUACCAUGGAGACACAGGAAAUACCUAGUUGCCUGGAGAAGUCAGGGAGGCAUUUGGAACAAGGUGACUUCUAAGCAGAAAGGGAUGAGGGAUGAUAUCCCCUGAGAAGAGCGAGGCAAAGAAAGGAGGGAUGUUCCAGGAACAGCAAGUACCACGCUUUGAUAAGGCUUGAGUGCAGGGUGCCCAUACGGGAGUGGCAGAGAUGAGGUGGAAGCAAGAACCAAAGUGUGAAGGGCUCUCAGAAGAGUUUGGACUUUAUCCUGAAGGCUCUGAAGAACCUCUGAAAAAAUAAGCAGAUCGUUUGCACUAUCCUGGUUGCAUUUUUUUUUUCCCCCAUGCCGUCAGCAGUGGGAAGAUGGACUGGAGACCAGGGAAGAGUAAGAAAACGCAGGUAAGGAAGAGCAUGUGCUGGGUCGGAAUCCCAGGAGGAGAGGCAGGGCAAGGAUGCCUAUUUUUAAAAAACAAAACACAACACACAGGUGAUUCUGACGCAUAUCUCUCUUCCUCUCUCAGCAAAUAAAUUGGGGGCAGUGAUGGUGGAAAAGAGAAGGGUUUUAAGAACUAUGAUGGAAACAAACCACAGGGCUGAGUGGCUGGUUAAAUCUAAUGGUCGAGGGAGGAAAGGACAGAGUCUAGGUCUGACUUGGGUGAGGGUGGAUAGCAGUACCAAAUAAGGAAAAGAGGUGGAAAUGCUGCUCUCCAGGGAGCACUGAAGGUCAGCACAUAUAAUUGUGAUGUGCUCAUGGAACUCCCAGGUGGAGUCACUUUGUAGACAAAUAAAAACGAUGGACUUGGAGUUCAUAGGGUCAGGGGCAAGCACUUUCAAGAGCUCCGGAGCUGAAGCCUUGGAUAGUGAGGUCAUCCACAAAAAGUCUUUUGAGUGAGACAGGAAAAGCGUGAAGGAGGAGAUCCCUGGAAACACGUACCUUUAAGGAUUGGUAGAAGGGAGACUCGACACCUGGUCAGAGGAGAACAAGGAGAGGUUGGUGUCUAAAAGUAAGGGGGCAAAAAGCUUUGGGGCACCUGGGUGGCUCUGUUAAGUGUCUGCCUUCAGCUCCUGUCAUGAUCUCAGGCUCCUGGGAUCGAGUCCCUUCCUGCUCAGUGGGGAGCCUGUUUCUCCUCCCUCGGCCCCUCCCUCCAGCUUAUAGGCUCUUGGUCUCUCUCUUUCAAACGAAAUCUUAAAAAAAAGUUUCUAGAAGGAUAUAGUAAUGAUGAACGCUCCCAAGAAAUCAAGGUGGGGACUGAAUCCUUUGACAGAAGGCGGGUCUUUAGCUACUGUGAAUAGUUGUAGACAGGCAUGGGAGUGGUGGAGGAAAUCAGAUUGCACGGAUUAGUGGGGCUGGAAGGCUGGAGGUCCAUGAAAAACAAUGGGAUAAAGCCCCAAGUGAGUUUUCUUUGUUUCUUGAUAUUGGAGCAACCUCAAAAUAGAAGCUGAGGAGAGGGUGCCCACUAAACAUAGGAGACGUAGUUUUUCUGCUGUUAAGACUUUCUGCUUAGUGCCAUUGUUGGCCUGGGAAUUCUGUGACUCUGUCUACUAGCUAAUCUCUGUUUACUAACAUCAGCUGUCUGAAGCAAAGCUACACAAAAAGAGCACGUGUGAAGGCUGGAGGGCAAGGGAAAUCUCUCUCCCUCUUUUUUUUUUCUUUUCCAGAUAAUCUCUAUGCUCAACAUGGGGCUCAAACCACCCCAAGAUCAAGAGUCACAUGCUCUAUCUACUGAGCCAGCCAGGCAUCCUCUCUCCUUUUUCUAAUCAGACCAUCAGUCCUUUUGGAUUAGGGUGCUAUCCUUAUGACCUUAUUUAACCCUAAUUACCUUCCUAAAGGUUUUAUCUCCAAAUACAGUCAUGUUGGGGGUUAGGGUUUCAGCAUAUGCAUUUUGGGGGACACCAGUCUGUAGCACUGUCAAAGAUCGGAAAUACAUCAGUUGGUUAGUAAUCAAACAAAAUGAAACAAAGUAAACAAUGCUCAAGUUGUCACUUUAAGUUAUUCUUUCAUUUUUAUUAACAGUUAAUAAACUGAGUUCAUUAAUUUAUUUUUAACUAGCCUCCACACCCAAUGUGGAGCCCAAUGCAGAGCUCGAACUUACAACCCUGAGAUCAAGACCUGAGCUGAGAUCAAGAGAAAGACACUCAACUGACUGAGACACCCAGGUGCCCCAAUAAACUGAAUUUAAUAACAGAUAUUAUCUUGAGCAUAUUUAAAAAUGCAGAAAAAUCUCAAUUGUUUUAACUAGAUUUUUUUAUAGUUAAUAAAUUCAUUUGAAUAUCUAUGUUAGACUCCUUUGGAGUUUUUUUAUUCAUUAUAUGCUUUUUUCUCAGAAGGUCACACUUUUUGUAAGUUGUCUUUUCAGAGGCUGGAUCAUCAGGCAUCCUGAGUCAGGAGAAUGUGUCUCACAUCUCCUGUAACUGCAAGCAGGUUUGAUUGCUCUGGACCCCAUAACUGCUGUGGGGCUGGGGUCUUGCUUCCCAUAACAUGCGUCUAGCUCGCAGCUGAUGUGCCCUGAGCGCGCCAAGGUCAAAGGAAUUAGGUUCCUGCAAAAUGUAGGACUACUUUGAGGAGUAAUUGAAUUUGGCUCAGUAACUCCACACAGGCCUUAUAAAUUCUCUGAGAACGGCAUUGCUGCCUGCCAUCCCUUCCUCCUUUCCUCCCUGCCUGCUUUCUCUGCAUCUUGCCUCAGACCUGCUGUAGGAUGACCGCUCUCUCAGCCUCCUCCAAGUCUUUCCUGUUCCCUUCACAGACCUUGCCCUAACAAAUCUUUUGCAUGUGUUAAAUGCCAGCUCCCAAAUCUCAACAAGAUGGAACUGAGUUUGUUGCUCACUGUUGCACAGGAGAGUUACCACCUCCAGAGAGCUUUGUUGUGUCCCAAAGGGGAAAGGGUGAGGCCUGUUUCUAUGGAGAUUUUGAAGUUUGAUUUAAGGCAGGUCCACCAAGGAGGAGAUCAGUCAGGUUCAAUUUGUGAUAUGAUAGUGAUUUAGGAUUGGUGGAAACGGGGAAGGAUUAGCGAGGUUGGGAGAAGAGUGGUGGUAGGAAAAAUGUCAACGGUUUCUAUUAAAGAGUUGAUUUUUCUUCUUUUCUUUAGGUUUAUUUGAGAGAGAAAUCGAGUGAGCACGUAUGGACACACAGAGGGAGAAGCAGACUCCCAGCUGAGUGGGGAGCCCAAUGCAGAGCUCCAUCCCAGGACCCCAGGAUCAUGACCUGAGCCCAAGGCAGAUGCUUAAUCCACUAAGCCACCCAGACACCCCCAGUUGAUGAUUUUUCAAACAAGUUCCUGAAUGAACAAUAAAGUCAUUUGCCCGGAUAAGAGGCUUCUGGAAUAGUACAGUUAUGCCAAUGAAGACAAUGGAACAGUUCUCCCUCACAUCAGGCACAGCAGCUGCACUUGCCUGAUGCCUCCUUGGCAGAUGCAGCCCUGGGCAUGCUUGGCACAGCCCAUGGGGCAGCAGGGGCAGCAGCUCUGCUUACAGCAUAUGCACGAGUGGGCACAGAUGCGGGAGCCACGGGGGGAGUGGGAGCAGUUGGAGUCCCUUUUGAGCCAAAGUGAGGAACAAGGCCCAGAGCAGUCACAGAGAGAGAGAGAGGCAGAGACACAGGCAGAAGGAGAAGCAGGCUCCAUGC